rnacentral:rRNA from 2 species
ACGGAAGGCAGCAGUGGGGAAUAUUGCACAAUGGGGGAAACCCUGAUGCAGCGACGCCGCGUGAGUGAAGAAGUAUUUCGGUAUGUAAAGCUCUAUCAGCAGGAAAGAAAAUGACGGUACCUGACUAAGAAGCCCCGGCUAACUACGUGCCAGCAGCCGCGGUAAUACGUAGGGGGCAAGCGUUAUCCGGAUUUACUGGGUGUAAAGGGAGCGUAGACGGUAAGGCAAGUCUGAAGUGAAAUGCCAGGGCUCAACCCUGGAACUGCUUUGGAAACUGUCCUACUAGAGUGCAGGAGAGGUAAGUGGAAUUCCUAGUGUAGCGGUGAAAUGCGUAGAUAUUAGGAGGAACACCAGUGGCGAAGGCGGCUUACUGGACUGUAACUGACGUUGAGGCUCGAAAGCGUGGGGAGCAAACAGGAUUAGAUACCCUGGUA